rnacentral:rRNA from 1 species
GACGAACGCUGGCGGCGUGCUUAACACAUGCAAGUCGAACGGAAAGGCCCUGCUUUUGUGGGGUGCUCGAGUGGCGAACGGGUGAGUAACACGUGAGUAACCUGCCCUUGACUUUGGGAUAACUUCAGGAAACUGGGGCUAAUACCGGAUAGGAGCUCCUGCUGCAUGGUGGGGGUUGGAAAGUUUCGGCGGUUGGGGAUGGACUCGCGGCUUAUCAGCUUGUUGGUGGGGUAGUGGCUUACCAAGGCUUUGACGGGUAGCCGGCCUGAGAGGGUGACCGGCCACAUUGGGCCUGAGAUACGGCCCAGACUCCUACGGGAGGCAGCAGUGGGGAAUAUUGCACAAUGGGCGGAAGCCUGAUGCAGCAACGCCGCGUGCGGGAUGACGGCCUUCGGGUUGUAAACCGCUUUCGCCUGUGACGAAGCGUGAGUGGCGGUAAUGGGUAAAGAAGCACCGGCUAACUACGUG